UUGUAUUUUUCACCAUGAACUGUGAGUAGAGUUCAGUUGAAUAAUAUUGUGUUAACUUCUUUGUGUGAUCUUGGCUUUGUCAAGUUUUGACCAUGUGUCUCUGUUUCCAGUCUCCUGAUGGUUUAUGUGGCGGGAAGGGUUUGUCAGAGCUGCGAAUGAUGAGGCUUCUCAAGUUCCAGCUGGUAAGCAAUCCAGAAUAUUAAAUAUUCAUAUGAUAAGGUUAGGCCACAUUUCCAUUGUCUAAUGAAGGUUUUUUUCUAUUUCAGCUGACUGGGAUUUAUCAGAUUUAAUUUAUUUUACAUUUUAGAUUUUAAAUUUAUUUGUGGUUAAAUUUGAUUGUUUCACCCAAAGGGGUUUCGGUGAAGAGGAUGCUUGCCGUAGGCUGAAGCUUUGGUUGCGGUGGUGCUCUUUUGAAUUACUGCGCCUGGGGCAACCGCUUUGGCUCACUGAAGGAUGGCUUGCAUGUGCAGCGGUAACUUCUGGCUUGAAGGUUGGUGGCAUUUCUCUUUCCUGGAAGCAAGUGUUAAAUUUAGUUAAAUUUAGUUUCUAUCAUCUAUGUUGGCACUGAUACUUAGGGACUAACCAGUUUUAGGCAAUGCUUGUAAAUCACUCGGAACCAUAUUUGCACGGCCCAGCUCUAUCGUCUGGCAAUGUUCAUUUAGUUAAGGUGCUAAGCUUAAGCUUUUAUUGCUGAUUUACAAGCUGUACUUUGCAUUGUGUCCUUUCAUCAAAAUAAAACUGUGUGUCACAA